rnacentral:lncRNA from 1 species
AACAGUCGAAUCUCCUGGAGGAAAUUUACAUUUUACAGAACGCAGAAAGUCUGCUUUAAAUCUUGAAUGGUAAUAUUUUUUAUCUGUCUAUCAAACAUAAGAACAACAAUGGAAUUACGCAGACAACUAAUUACAUAACAAAGCUGACAACUAAUUACAUAACAAAGCAUCACGACAUGUACCGAUUGAAGUAUUUUUGAACCAAACUGCAGUCAAGAGCAAUAAUAACAAGAAGCUAUAAUGUCUCAGCUAUAGCAUAUAUCCUUGAACAGUUGGACGCACCUUGUUAUUG